UUGGCAGAGGACUGUCUCUCCCUUGCAAGUCAAACUUACUUGGUUCAUCUGUGCCUUAUUCAUACACUUGUUUGUAAUUAUCAGCUUUUUAACUCAAACAUCUGCCGUGUGGGGUUCCUGUGUGCGCAGCCUCCAGAACGUCUGGAGAACAAAAAUCCUGUACAGUGAAUUCUGUGUUGGUAACCGCCGAAUCGACCGAGGGGCACUGGGAGGGUGGAUCAACGCGUUCCAACAGACAGUGUGAACGAACGCACAGGGUUUUUUAACAUCUUGGACAUCUCAAUCAUCUUGUCCAUGGAUUCUCUCCAGUGCACCAUAUCAUCUCUUACUCAGCUUCUCCAGGAGUUUGCCUCCAAUUCUGCCACGUCAGCACUUCCUAUUCUCCGCUCUGCCGACGUUCAACUUGCUCCUUGGUCCCUCCCACUGACAUUAACCCUCGCAACGCUCGUCCUGGCUCGUCUCUAAGGAUCCUAUACUCCCACUCAGGCUCCGCUCCAAAUCCUGCAAGGGCAGCUCAUUAAUCUGGAGCAGCUUGUCCUCGUUCUGGGCUCCGAGAGUUCCCCAGACUCUGUUCCUGUCUCUGGUCCCCUCGGCUCUGUUCCUGUCUCGGAGGUUCCGCCAGACUCCACGCCUGACUAUGAGGCACCUGGCUCACAGCCUGUCAAUGAGGUGCCUGGCUUACAGCCUGUCUACGAGGUGCCUGGCUCACAGCCUGUCUACGAGGCGCCUGCCUCCAAGCCUCUGGAGUUCCACAGAGUUUCUGGGAGGCCUUCUACGCUCCAUGGUCGGCCUCCUGAUCUGCCGCACUGAGGGUCCACUACUCUGCUCGGUCGGCCUCCCGACCAACCUGCGGCAUCGCCGGCCGCCCAGGUCUCUACGUCUCUGCCGAUCUCCAGGUCUUCGCCGCCGUCGCCGGCUGAUCAGGCCUCUGAGUAGGGGGUCCUGGACUCCUCAUGAACUCUGUGCCUGCUCGGGACGACCUCCUGG